rnacentral:rRNA from 1 species
AUUGAACGCUGGCGGUAUGCUUAACACAUGCAAGUCGAACGGAAACGAAACUAGCUUGCUAGUAGGCGUCGAGUGGCGGACGGGUGAGUAACGCGUAGGAAUCUGCCUGAUAGUGGGGGAUAGCCCGAAGAAAUUCGGAUUAAUACCGCAUAAUCUAUUCGUAGUAAAGUGGGGGACUUUCGAGCCUCACGCUAUCAGAUGAGCCUGCGUAAGAUUAGCUUGUUGGUAGGGUAAAAGCCUACCAAGGCUACGAUCUUUAGCUGGUCUGAGAGGAUGAUCAGCCACAUCGGGACUGAGACACGGCCCGAACUCCUACGGGAGGCAGCAGUGGGGAAUAUUGGACAAUGGGGGCAACCCUGAUCCAGCAAUACCGCGUGUGUGAAGAAGGCCUGAGGGUUGUAAAGCACUUUCAAUUGUGAAGAAAAGUUAACGGUUAAUAACCGUUGACCUUGACGUUAACUUUAGAAGAAGCACCGGCUAACUCCGUG